UUUAAGAUCACUGAGUCCAACCACUAACCUAGUACUGCCAAGUCCACCACCUAACCAUGUCCCUAAAGACCUCAUCUACACACCCGUUAAAUACCUCCAGAGAUGGUGACUCAGCUGUUUCCCUGGGCAGCCUCUAGCAGUCUGUGACCUAAUAGCCAAUCUAAACUUCCCCUGGUGGAACUCAAAGCCAUUUGCUCUUGUACCAUUGCUUGUUACUUGAGAGAAGGGGACAAUCCCUACCUGUCUACAAACUCCUUUCAGGUAGUUGUAGAGAGCUUCCUUUUCUCCAGGAUAAACAACCCCAGCUGCCUCAGCUGCUCCUGGUGUUCUCCACAGGUUCUACCAGGAUCCUGCUCCAGCUCAGGCAUCUGACAGGGUCACAGCCUCCUUCAGGCACACACAUCUGCUCCAGCAUGGGGUCCUCCAUGGACUGCGGGUGGAUAUCUUCUCCACCAUGGACCAAAACAUUGCCAUCCAAACCCAAUACACCCCUGUAAUGUUUACACCUAAGAGCUGUUGUAAAACCUGAAUGGGGUUGUCUUCAUUUUAAGGGGCAAAAGAUCAAUGAAUGCACUAAGAAAAGAA